UAUGUCCAUAAUAUUAUUUGGCUGUCAUAUCACCCUAUAGCCCAUAGACUGGUUGCCCACUGAAGCUAAGCAGGGUUCAGUACCUGGAUGGAAGACCUCCUGGUAAAACUAGUAGGGGUGUAA
rnacentral:rRNA from 1 species